UUCGCAAUGCCCGAAAGGGUGACGAAGCGACGCCGCGUGGGUGAGGAAGGCCUUCGGGUUGUAAAGCCCUGUCAGGAGUUAAGAAAUGUAGACUCGCUAAUAUCGGGUCUAUUUGACAAAGGCUCCAAAGGAAGCCACGGCUAACUCUGUGCCAGCAGCCGCGGUAAUACAGAGGUGGCAAGCGUUGUUCGGAAUUAUUGGGCGUAAAGAGCACGUAGGUGGAUUUGUAAGUCAGACGUGAAAGCCUUCUGUUCAACGGAAGAAUUGCAUCUGAAACUACAAACCUUGAGUGUAGGAGGGGAGAAUGGAACUUCUGGUGGAGCGGUGAAAUGCGUAGAUAUCAGAGGGAACGCCGGCGGCGAAAGCGAUUCUCUGGCCUAUUACUGACACUCAGUGUGCGAAAGCUAGGGGAGCAAACGGGAUUAGAUACCCCGGUAGUCCUAGCCGUAAACGAUGGGCACUAAGUAGAGGGGUUUU
rnacentral:rRNA from 1 species